GAUGAACGCUAGCUACAGGCUUAACACAUGCAAGUCGAGGGACCGACGCACGGGUGAGUAACGCGUAUCCAACCUGCCCUUCACCACGGGAUAACCCGGCGAAAGUCGGACUAAUACCGCAUGGUGACGGUUGGGGAUGCGUCCGCUUAGGUUGACGGCGGGGUAACGGCCCACCGUGGCUACGAUGGGUAGGGGGUCGGAGAGGAAGGUCCACCACACUGGAAGUGCGACACGGUCCAGAAUCCUACGGGAGGCAGCAGUGAGGAAGAUUGGUCAAUGGGCGUAAGCCUGAACCAGCCAAGUAGCGUGCAGGACGACGGCCUAUGGGUUGUAAACUGCUUUUAUGCGGGGAUAGGUACCGCAUGAAGAAGGACCGGCUAAUUCCGUGCCAGCCGCCGCGGUAAUUC
rnacentral:rRNA from 1 species